GACGUCAUUGCGCUCGGCAGUCUGGGAGAGGAAGCGCUGCGUUGGUGGGAGAAGAGAGGACCGAGGAGCGGGAAGAUCGAGGAGCAGCGGCAGCCCCAGCGACGGUGCGUCCUGUACAGCAUGUGCCCACCCAUCCACCAACAAGCACCAGCAGGUCUGCAGUCUGCCUGCCUGAGCCCCUGGCCCCGAGGAGGCAACCUGUCAGUCCAGGAUCCCGGCAGCAGCACAGCACAUGGCCAGCAUGAGCACUUCAGGGAGAGUGCUGCCCCCCAGCCAGCGCACAGCAGGGAGGAGUCCUAGGAGCAGCAGCACGGCGUUGAGCGAUGUCGCUUGGUACUAUAAGCGGCUGGCCGCCCACAAGCACCCGGUCUGCAGCCUGCCUGCCUGAGCCCCUGGUACUAAGGAGGAGUCCAGCCACCCAUGCAGCCCGGGAUCCCAGCAGCAGCACAGCACAGCACACAGCCAGCAUCAGCACUGCAGGGAGAGUGCCGCCCCCCUGGCCAGGCGCACAGCAGGGAGGAGUCCUAGGAGCAGCAGCACGGCGUUGAGCGAUGUCGAGUGAUAUUGUAUGCGGCUGGCCGCCCACAAGCACCCGGUCUGCAGCCUGCCUGCCUACCUGAGCCCCUGGUACUGAGGAGGAGUACAGCCACCCAUGCAGCCCGGGAUCCUAGCAGCAGCACAGCACACAGCCAGCAUCAGCACUGCAGGGAGAGUGCUGCCCCCCUGUCCAGGGUGAGUGCGGAUGUAUACAUG